CUCAUUGGACGUCUCUCUCUAACCAUUGUCUAUUCCUGUGUCCAUUUCAUAGUGGCUUUUGAGUUUGAAGUUUCAUCUUCUUCUUGACAAGAGCAACAUUUCCAUUUGUUUGGAGGAUUUUAUAUUUGUCUGCUGAAAUCUGAAUGCGCUAAUGGCAACGGCAACCUCUGAAUCCAAAGACGCAUCAGAUCACGUUGUUGAGCUCAUAGUGCGCGAUGCAUCAGCACCUUUUUCUGAUGCUGAAGCCGAUUCCGAGGACAAAGACCAAAUUGCCCCUCUUCUCUCUCAGGAAAGACCCAAGAUCAAUAUAUUCACUGUUUCUUACCCUCGCACAAAACCCAGAGAUGAGGUGACAAGACUACUUGAGUCUGAGACAUCUCCUUUCACAAAUUUUAUAUUGUGGGUGUGGAAUGGGUCCAGAUACUCUGGUUUACUUUGUAUGGCUUUCUCAUCUACCAUCUACUUUCUCAUGGGGGUUCUUACAAAUGUAUUUUCUGUUCAGGCAAUUCCUUUGUUUGAGACUGCUUUUACAAGAUGUGCAAUUACCUUGAUACUGUCAUAUUUGUGGUUGAGAUGGAGUGAACAACCAGUAUUUGGAACAUCCCAAGUUAGAAUCAUUUUACUUUUAAGGGCCCUUACAGGAUGUAUAUCAAUGUCAAGUUUUAUAUAUUGCUCUCAAAGGCUGCCUUUCUCUCAGGCCAUUGUAUUGAACUCAACAGUUCCUAUUAUGGCUUCAAUUAUGGCCAGGGUGUUUUUGCAUGAUAAAUUAAAAGUUGCUGAUAUUGCAAGUCUUGCCUGCUGUUUCUUUGGUGUGCUGUUCUUCUUCCGAGAAGCGCUUGCUACAGAAGGAUACUUUGUUAAAGCUAAGGAAGCAAGCAAUGCACAAGCUAAGACAGGUCAUCAUAUAUUUGCAAUUCUAUUGGGUCUCUUUUCAUCAAUAAUGGGUGGAACUAGUUACUGUCUUAUUAGGGCUGGAGCUAAGGCAUCCGAUCAGCCUAUGUUAACUGUCUUUUCAUUUGGCUUAUUUGCUAGUCCUGCUAUGGGAAUAUGUACUUAUAUCUUUGAGGAUUUUGUGCUACCAGGAUUUCGGUCUAUUUUGCUUAUGCUUGUGAGUAGUAUUAUGGGCUUCUUUGCUGAGGACCUUGCCACGGGGAAGACGAUUUUAACUUGUAUGGAGCAAAGUGGGUUGUAUUUUUUAGAGUUUGAUGACCAAAGCAACACACAAAUCAUGAGUCAACAAGCUACAUCUGAGACGUGGGCAAAAUCCCAAAUAUUGUACAUCAUCAAAGGCUUGGGCAUCCUUCCUUUAGUCUUAUCAAGUCCUUGUUUCCCCAUUUGUUUACCAAGGAGUCUACAAGCUACAUCUGAGACGUGGGCAAAAUCCCAAAUAUUGUACAUCAUCAAAGGCUUGGGCAUCCUUCCUUUAGUCUUAUCAAGUCCUUGUUUCCCCAUUUGUUUACCAAGGAGUCUGUUGAGUCUUUUAAUUGUGAUAUUUGUCAAUUGUCAAAACACCACCUUGCAUCUUAUCCUAUUAGUAAUAAAAAGAGUAUUUCUCCAUUUGAUUUAAUUCACUCUAAUGUUUAGGGUCCUGUCACAGAUUCUAUUUUCGGAGCCAAAUGGUUUGUUACCUUUUAUUGACGAUUGUACUCGUUUCAUGUGGACAUACCUUAUAAAAAAUAAAUCUGAAGUUUUUCAAUUUUUUGUUAAUUUUUUCCGUCUUGUCCAAAAUCAAUUUGGAAAAAAUAUCUAAAGAAUUAGGUCUGAUAAUGGUACUGAAUAUGUGAAUCAUGAAUUUCUCAAUUGUUUGUCUCAUAAUGGUAUUGGUCAUGAACUAACCUGUGUUAACACCCCUCAACAAAAUGGGGUUGCUGAAAGAAAGAAUCGUCAUCUUCUUGAAGUAACUAGAGCUCUUCUUUUGCAAAUGUUUGUUCCAAAAAAUUACUGGGGAGAAGUUGUGUUAACUGCCACAUAUCUCAUCAACAGGUUACCCACUCGUAUCUUAAAUGACAUUAGUCCUAUAGAGUCUCCAAUGUCUUUUGUUCCUUCUUCUUCCCUAACAACGAGUCUACUUAGUCGAGUCUUUGGAUGUGUUGUUUUUGUUCACUCUCAUCAUCCUCACCGUGGUAAAUUAGAUCUCAAAGCUCUUAAAUGUGUCUUUAUUGGGUAUCCUUCUAAUAAAAAAGGGUACAAAUGUUAUCAUCCUCAGAGUCGUCGCAUCUUUAUCACCAUGGAUGUCACCUUUCAUGAAACACAUUCCUAUUAUGUCAGUCCACCACUUUAGGGGGAGAAAGCACUUGAAGUGGAUGAACUCUCCUUCUUGUCAUUAUCAUGUUUGUCUUUCAAGAUGCCCAAGACCUGAGCAAUAAAGCUACCAUUGUCCACAGUGAGGAAGAAAAGGAAGAAGACAGAAUUUUUGGGAAAAAAUAUGAAAGAGGAAAACAACCUACUUCGACUCUCGAGCAAGAAAAAUUGUCUAAUCCGGAGGUGAGGAUCCCUGAAGAUAUCAAUGAUAAGGAGGUUUUGUUAGCACGCGGACUGCAACUUGAGAGAACCAGUAAAGUUGCUAAUGUUCAGUACUUGGAGGCAGGCCUAAGGCAAUUAUGCAGCCUUGCUCUGACAAGAUUGGCUCCAUCCUUUGAUCGCCUCGUUGGU